GAUGAACGCUAGCGGCAGGCCUAAUACAUGCAAGUCGAACGGUAGAUCGGGUAGCAAUACUUGAUUGAGAGUGACGUAAGGGUGCGUAACACGUAUGCAAUCUACCCUCAACAGGAGUAUAGCUCGGGGGAAACUCGGAUUAACACUCCAUAACAUUACGAUGUGGCAUCACAUUGUGAUUAAAACUCCGGUGGUUGAGGAUGAGCAUGCGUCUGAUUAGUUAGUUGGAGGUGUAACGGACCCCCAAGACGAUGAUCAGUAGGGGAACUGAGAGGUUGAUCCCCCACACUGGCACUGAGAUACGGGCCAGACUCCUACGGGAGGCAGCAGUAGGGAAUAUUGGUCAAUGGGUGAGAGCCUGAACCAGCCAUGCCGCGUGCAGGAAGACGGCCUUCUGGGUUGUAAACUGCUUUUAUCUGGGGAUAAAAAGCCCAUGCGUGGGACAUUGAAGGUACCAGAUGAAUAAGCACCGGCUAACUACG
rnacentral:rRNA from 1 species